GGAAUUAAAACUAAGUAAUUAAGAAUUAUUCGUGGAUUAAGUGGAGUUAAGGAAAUAGAUUAUGAACAUGGGCCAGGGGUAAGAUCCUAGAUGGAGGGUGUGAAUUGGGAACAACAUACGUGGGCCCUUUGGCCCAAGUCUCCAAACCCGGAUCCACCAUGGAUCAAAAAUCUGACUUCAGCAUCCCAAAACUUCUCACGAUUCACACGAAAAGCGGAGAAGAACGAACGCUCGUGACGAAAAAUAAGAAGAGAAGGAAAGAACGCGUUCAUGUCGAAAAUGGCUUACCCUCACCGUCGGCACCUGAAUCACCUUCGCGAUCCACUUGAAUCUUCGUGCAAGGUUCAUGUUUUGCUGCCCGUUGUGGAUUUGUUCUUCUGCUUCGUCGUGCGUGUGCGCUGUGUUGGGCAAAUGCUGAAGAUGAUUUCGUGUUUUCACGUUGUCGAUUGAAGCUGAAGACGAAGAUCCGUUCAGAUUAGUGCGUUGAGAUGAACUGGUAUGUUGUUGUUGUCCGAUUCGGAAUUACGUUACGUCCGCGUCGUCGUUGUUGAUUCUUCGGUUGGCCGUUGAUGAUGAAUUAUGAAACUCUAUCUUCCACGAUGCGGUGAGUUUUUUUUCACUCUCUUUGCUACCUUCGUUUUCGUUUUUUCUUCUUCAAUUUUCUGUUUUUGUUCUUCUCUGAGUUGUUGCGGUUUUGGCCAUAAAGUUGAGUUUGAGGAGUGGAUUGGUUAUGACGAUUGAAGGUUGUGGAUGAAAGUUCUGUUGGAGAUAAUGGUUGGUUAUCGGAUUCUGCAGGGUUGUUGAAGAAUGAUAAUCUGUUAUGAAAAGUUUUUGUGCAGGGUCUUGAGGUGGUUAGAGGUUAUAUGGUGAUUGAAGAUUAGGGGAGGGAAUUCAGUUGAAGAGGGUUUCGGUAAGACUAUUAUAGGUUCUGGUUCAGUUCAGUUAGGAGGGUUGUUAGAAGUUGUGUGAAGGAGAAGGAUGGAGGAGCGUUGGUUCAGAAUUGUUUAUGACAGUUGGUUUUUACCAGGUGAGUGAAUUCAGUUAGAUUGAUUUUUGUAACAGUUGGAGGUUCUGUGAUGGAAAACGAUUAUCAGUUGAUUUGGAGGUUAUUUCAGGUUUUAUGUGCAGUUUCUGUAGGAAGGUGCCUUAGUGGUUGGAGAGUUUCGGUUGAGUUUGGAUUGGAGAAAGUAGUGACUUGGUUGAGAGUUUUUGCAGGUGGCCAGAAUUCUGUUGUUGGUUAUUUGAUGUUGAAGUGAGAAUGAAUCAGUUCAAUUCUUGUUGUUAGUGUCUUACUAAUGCCGUAAGAAGUCAAUCAUGUUGCUGUUAAUGAUUGUUAGUUUGUGAACGAAUACAUAUGACAGUCGGUUGAAAAUUGUAUGCGGACUACUUUAAACUUCUGUUAUGCAAAUGGAUUUGGCCCUACUAGAUGUUACUUUUGUCAUGCUAUGUUAGUUACAACAUUUCCGUUAUUAUUGUUAUGCAGGUUAUAUUGGGCUACUAUUUCUAUACUGAGUUUUCUCAUGGCCGAUGUAAUGCAAGUGUUUGGUCAGUUGGACGUUGUCGGAAAGAAGUUUCUUAUUCUAUUGUGAGGUACGUUUAAAUGCUAUGCGUUGCCAUGACCUUUGUUAAUUGGCCUGCUGUUACUGAAUUGGUUGCGAAUAUGUUUUACAUCUAGGCUACUGUCAUGACAUGCUUGUGUCUCACUUGCCAUGCUAUUGGACUGCAUUUUCUAUUUAUGCAAGUUUGAGUCCCGUUCCAUUACUUGCAGAUUGUGGUUUGCGAAUCUGUUUAUGUAUGUGUAACAAGUGGUUCUGAACUUUGUUAGCUUAUGUUGUUUAGAAAAUUCUAUGAGCUUUCCCUUGUGAAAUUCUGUUGACAAUUGGUUCUGUUUGGAUGUGAUUUUCGGUUUUGUUGUAGGUGAUGGUUUAAUGUCGGAGUAAAGACUUUGUGUUGGACGUUCAUGGUAUCGGUUGCAUUAAAGUGCAUCAUUGGAAUGGGAAUGUCAUGGAGCUGACUUGGAUUCAAUGGACUGUAUUUUUUUCUCGGGACAUGUUGUAAACUUGACAGGUUAUAACUUGGAAUUGAUUGUAAUUGGAACCAUGUACAAUUUGGAAUGGAUUUGUAUGGUGAAGGUUGUAUUUAAUUUGGGAUUCCAAUUGUAUGGAAUUAAUUGUGUAUGAAAUGAUGUAAUUGAAUGGAAUAACAUGUAAUCGGAUAAAUUUGUACCGUAACGUGAAUUUGGUUGAAGUAUUUGUAAAUAUUGUAACUUGUAAUCAAUGGUUGAAUGUAAUUGAAAUCUGAUGAUUUGAAAUUGAUUUGAAUGGAAUUGAAUGUAUAUAUUAUUUUAUGGAAAUGUAGGACAUGGUUUGAAUAUAUGGUGUAAAAAUGAAAGAUGAGUGGAUUUUGGAAUGAAUCACGG
rnacentral:lncRNA from 1 species